GGACAUCUAGCUUCCCUCACACCACAGCUGAACCUUUGGGAAGGCUGAUGGGAUCUGAGAGGAGUGUCUCUGGAAGCAGGCAGCAGCCUGCAGGGAGGCAAGUGGUUCAGCGAUGCACAAGAAGGUGACCAAGAGCUGCACCUUUUGCCCACCUCCAGACCUCCAAAGCAAAAGGAAAGCUUGCCCUUGAGGUUUGAGGUGAAGAGCUCUCGAGCCUCCAUGGAAGACACUAAUGAUGGAAACAUUGGCUUUGGCUGCCCAGAAGAAGUUAGCAACCACUUGUGGUCCUCAGUCCUGUUGUGGAUCAUCCAUGUCCUGCUCAGAAGGAUUAACUCAGCUGUAUCCAGUUUCCAAAGAUUUAACAUUGUACAAGAUCACUGCAGUCCCAAACCAUUAAAUGAAAUAAUUUAACAA